GCCGUAAGACGCAUUCGUUUGGAAAGGGAGAUAUCAUACACCCUGUGUUUAUUUACCUUUGUUGCUUUGGCGGCCGUCCUUUUAGGCGUCGGCCCCGGCUGAUCGCGCCCGCCAGAGGACCCAAACUCUUUUAUCAGUGAUGUCUGAGUACUAUAUAAUAGUUAA
rnacentral:misc_RNA from 1 species